AUAAUAAUAAAGUUAAUUUCAUACCAUUCCUGUAAAUAUAAUAAAUUAUAAAUAUAUUUUUAUAAAAUUUACAGUUUAAAUAUUAUUUUUAAAAAAAAUUUAAUAUUUUUAAAUAUAUUUCUUUAAAUUGUUACUGUGUUUAUUUUAUAAGUAAAAUAAUUUUUUUGACAUUAUAAAUAUGUCUGUUCAAAAGUUCCAACUAUUAAUUAAAGAAGGGUAAAAAAAAUUAAUUCAUCUUAUUAACUAACUAGAAUUAAAUUUUUUAUCUAUGGUUAACUAAUUUUUUCUAACAGAUCCUAAUGGCAGGGACAUAUUUGAAAAUAUAAAAACUUUUAUAGAAACUAGUUGAAUGUACGUACAAAUGUACGUAAUAAUUAUUAUAAUUUAUUUCAAAUUAAUAUAAAUUUGUACAUUAUAUAUAUCCAAAAUUUUACAAUAAAAAUUAUAUUUAUAAAUUAAUAUAUUAUAUUUUAUUAGAAAAUAUUUAUAAUAUCCUACCGUAUUCUUUUUUUUAUAUACAUCAAACAUUUUUAUAUAUUUUUUUGAUUUUUAAUGAAUCAAAUUUAAAUAUGUGUUUUAAACUAAAAGCAUCAAAAUAUAAUUCACAUUCAUUUUAAAAUUUAAAAUUUAAUUUUGAUCUACUGUAAUAAAAAAGUUAAUUAUUAAUUCAAAUUUGAUAUCAAAUAUUAAAUUAAUUCAUAAUUUAAACUCAAAUUUUAAUUUUAAUGUAAAAUAGAUAAAUAUGAAUGCUAUUUUUUAACAAAUUGACCAAAACCGUUUGUUUUUAUUUGAGAUAUUUUUUAACAAAUUCGAUUAUAAUCGUUUGUAGGAUUGAAUUUAUAGAUGGAUAGAAAUGCUAUUUUUUAUUAGAUUGAUCAUAGCUAUUCUUAUUUAAGAUAUUUUUUUAACAAAUUAAUCAUAACCAUUUGUAGGGAAUAGAUUUUUAUAUAUAGUAGAGAUUAAAUAGAUUAAUCAUAAUCGUUCGUUUUUAUUAGGAAUAAUUUUAACAAAUUAAUCAGAACCAUUUGUAGGGAAUAUUAUUUUAUUCAUUUUUAGAUUCCGUCUGUCAUUGUCGGAAUUUCUAUACGCUUUUAUAUAUAGUAUAGAUAUAGAUAUAAAUAAUAUAUAAAAGUUGAAUUUUAUAAAAAUAUAUUUAUAUUUAUAGAAAUCUGUAUGAAAUUAAACUAUAAUAAUAAUACUAAUAUAAUAAUAAAAAGGGAAAUUGUUUUUUUUUUUCUUGAGAGAGAGAUAGGUAGUACGCUACCCACUUCGUUUAUUUCAUUUAGAAAUAAAUUUAGCUAAAAAUGUGAAUCAAUAGAAUUCGAAUUUGGGUCUCGGAUACCACCCAUCAGGUCUUUUGUCACUUGCUUUACAGACGGUCGGUUAAGAAGAAAAAUUGCUAAAAGAGGAUU
rnacentral:lncRNA from 1 species